rnacentral:lncRNA from 1 species
UUUUAUUUACCAAAGGUGUCAUAAUUAUUCUUUUAUUGCUUUUUAUACUCACUACACCCUCACAAAGUCAAUGGAGUCCAAAAGUAAAUUAGUGCUAUCAAAUAUGAAGGAAUAAAUUGUGGAAAAGGAUAUCUCUCCUUAGACGAGACUACAGGUAGAUCCAGACAUUACUUAUUAUUUCAUGGACUGGGAACCAGAAAAACCCGGAGCAUGAGGACUCGGACUUGACCAGAACACUGAAAAGUUGGACUCUAAUACAGCUCCGGAAUAUGAAGAGGAUCUAGAUGAAGAUGCAAAAUAAUUAAUUGAAAUUCUGAAUAUAGGUUUAAUUGAUGAUAAUCUCGACGAAAAUUGUAGCGACCUCAUACAUAAGUACUCAUUUAAUAUUGUUCUUGAUUUUGACAAUACUACUGGUAGAUCUGGGCAUUACUUAUUUUAUCAUGUACCUGGAGUAUGAUAACUUGGACGCGGAAGCAGAAAGACCCGGAGCAUGAAGACUUGGACUUUACCUGAACACUGAAAAGGUGGACUCAAAUGCAGCUCUGAAUAUUGGAUCUAAUGGAUAUUUACUCUUUUCUUAAACUAUAUUUAUUAUUUACUAUUGAGAAUGAGUAGUUAAUAGUUAUUUAUGGAAUAUGAAGAUGCAAAAUAACUAAUUAUAAUUAUUUAUAUCGGUAGACACGAGUAUAGUAUUAUAUCUUAAUAUUUGGUUUUUUAUCUUGAUUGUACUAUGUAGGCUUUAUUGAUGAUAACCUCCCCAAAAAUGUGUAGCGGCCUCAUUCAUCAGUAUACAUUUAAGUGGUGCAUACAAAUUUACCUAUAACAGAGGUUUUAUAUGCCAAAACGUUGUUUAGAUUUUAACUCCAAUACUUGCAAUUGUUCAAUUGUCAUCCUUCUUAAUAUGUUCCAAAUUUAUUAAAUAAGGGAAACCUAUCAAUACUGCAGUCAUGGAUCUUAGUUUCGUCUAAAACAAGAAGAUUAUCAUUUCCUACAAGUUCUUUCUUAAUCUUUGACAACAAUACUUUACUUUGGGACUCAAUUGACUUUGUGAUGUGGUAGCGAGAAGGAAUGGGUUUUCCAUGAAUUUUACAAGAUUUGAAUUACUAUCAAUAUUGAGUAGGACAUUGCUCGAUACAUAUAUCUUACUCAUGUUCAAUAUAAAAUUAAUCUUUAUUUAUAACAAUUAUUUAAUGAAAUAUAAUUGCUAUUUUUA